GCUUGGGCUUCAGUGCUGAGACUCUGUAGGUAGUUGUGACACCGCUCUUUGUGCUCCUCCAGGGUACUCUGCUGUUUGUAGCUGCGGCCACAGUAGUUACACUUGUACGGCUUGCCCACUGUGGGGGAGGAGACUGUGGAGGAGACAGGAGAGACAUGGCAUUGUGCCCUGGCUCUACAAAGCCAUCUGGGAGCAAAUAUGCACUGGCAUGAGGAGGAAGGGAUGCGGCUCAAGUGAAUUCUGCUCGUCUUUCCUUCCCUACCUUCAGCGGCAAGCAUGGACAGAGCUUCAGUUUCCUCGUCAGCAAAAUGAGGAUCACAUGAGACAAGCGAAAUGCUUUGUAGAUCAUAAAGCCAGCUCCAAGGAUUUCUCUUUGGAGCCUUUACCUUAAUCCCACCCAUGCCUCCUUUAAUUCUACCCUAGUCUGGCAGCAACUGUUCACUCUCCUUUCAGAAGUCAGGAAGACCCUAGAUGCUGAGCUCCGUACUGCUUUUGGAGGCUCGAAGCAGAAAACCAGAGGGAGGCAGCGAUGGGGAAAAUGGCUGCCCAUGGAGGGUGAACUGCGGGCCAAACACAAAUGGGGGCGCCUAGUGGCAGGGCAGGGCAGAAGGUUGCACUUACCACUGAGUGAGCGGCUGGGAGAAGAGUGCUGGCUGUUGGGGGUGCUCACCGAGGGCCCCACUGGGGCCCCGAGGAACUCCUUCUCCAGAGAUGAGUCCCCGCUACCUUGGAGGAGAGAACAAGAGGACAGGUGAAGCUGCAGCUGGAGCCUGUUACCGUCCGUUGCCUCACCUCUUCAAAAUUCUGUGACGUCUCACAAACAUUCAUCUUGUAGCCACGUACAAGGCAGUGUUGUGUGCUCGGCACCAUACCUUGUGCCCUCGUCAGCCGGGUGCCUGGUGCGGACUUCUGCAAGCUCAGUGGCUGCAUCUUGCCCACCCUACCUUUAUCUAGGCCUGAGGGGAAGAGCAUCACUGCCUGACGUCCACAGGAAGCAGGGCUGGGGCUGGGCGGGCCAGGGUGGAGAGGAAAAUGGGGGCCUCAGGAGGGAGGCGGUUCAGGACAGACGUUCUUCCCUACUGUUCCUUUCCGGAGCCCCCAACACCAGGUUCGGGAUCUGCAGGAAGGGCAGCUGGAAUGGUCCCUGAAUCUAAUGAUAAUAAUAGUAAUCAUAACGAUAGCCGCUAACAUGUAUUGAGUGCUCACUUUGUGCCAGGCCUGGUUCUAUUCACUUUAUACCAAUUAUCUCAUUUAACCUUCACAACAGCCCUAUGAAGCAGGUGCCAAUAGUAUCUUAAUUUUGCAGAUGAGAAAACUGCGGCAUAAAAGAGGCUGUGGCACUUGUCCAAGGUCACAUAGCUGGUAGAGGUGGAACCCGGACCGAUCAUAGAUCGUAAGCACCCAUGUCCUGAGCCACCACCUCUGCAACCAGUGGGGAAUCACUGUUUUAGCAGAACUCUAAUGGGAGCAUUAGGCCCAUUAGACCUUCUGUAAUCAGCACAAAUUUGACUACUCCAGAAAGCCUCCUAUCUGAUAUGAUUCCAGUCACAUAUUUAUUGCUCGAUGUUCCCUUGACAGUAAAAUAAUGAGUUUAUUCUCAGUAUGUUUGUUGUUAACGUGUUGACACAUUGCUUUGUAAAAAUGAAUUUUAAGA